rnacentral:rRNA from 1 species
UACGGAGGGUGCAAGCGUUAUCCGGAUUCACUGAGUUUAAAGGGUGCGUAGGUGGGCAGGUAAGUCAGUGGUGAAAUCUCCGGGCUUAACCCGGAAACUGCCAUUGAUACUAUCAGUCUUGAAUACCGUGGAGGUAAGCGGAAUAUGUCAUGUAGCGGUGAAAUGCUUAGAUAUGACAUAGAACACCAAUUGCGAAGGCAGCUUACUACCCGAAUAUUGACACUGAGGCACGAAAGCGUGGGGAUCAAACAGG